UACGGGGGGAGCAAGCGUUGUUCGGAUUUACUGGGCGUAAAGGGCGCGUAGGCGGUCAGCACAAGUCAGUUGUGAAAUCUCCGGGCUUAACUCGGAAAGGUCAACUGAUACUGUGCGACUAGAGUGCAGAAGGGGCAACUGGAAUUCUCGGUGUAGCGGUGAAAUGCGUAGAUAUCGAGAGGAACACCUGCGGCGAAGGCGGGUUGCUGGACCGACAUUGACGCUGAGGCGCGAAAGCCAGGGGAGCAAACGGG
rnacentral:rRNA from 1 species